rnacentral:lncRNA from 1 species
AUGUGUGUGAGGGAGCUGACAGGAGUGGGCUUUCCCUGCCAAACCAGCGAGGCCCAAAACACCCUGGCAGAAGAGUGGAGCUCACCAUCGACCCAUGCCAAGGGCUCAGGGGAGGUUUCAACCCGAGAAGCCCUCCCGAGGGGCCCCGCUCCGCUCCGCCAGCACGGCCCUGCGACAACCACCAAGUUGCAGGCCCCCCCCGCCCCCCGCCCUCACGAGCAGGGCCGGUGGAGCAGCACGGGCCGUUCUCUCCCUCUCGGCCCUCCUGCCCAGACAAGGCCCCGUUACCGACCCCGGAAACUUUGGGCACUCCUGAGGAGCGGCCUGUCGGCGGCCCAGGUCCCGGCCCACGCCCUCCCCUUUUGUGUGGGGACGCUGCCCGGACACGGCGGCGGGAAGCUCAGCCCGGCGGAGCGGGGGCGCCCGUCCCCGCCCGGAACCCGCGGCGUGGGCCUCGGGCGGGGGCGAGCGGGCCCCACCCGGGAACCGCGGCCCUGGGCCGCGCCGGGAAGGGGGAAAACCGGCGAGCCGCCCCGCAGAGCGGCACAGAACCCCAUCCCCGGUACCUGCGGCCUCCACUGGAUCGCUCUCCCGCCGCUUCCUGCUCCACAGGCCCGAGCUCGAGCAGCGGCGAACGGAAACGGGCGGGGCGGGGGCGUGCGCGCUCACCGGGCCCGGCGCGACGCGGCGCUUCGCUGCGCGACGCUUCCUCAGGCCGGCCCGCCCGCGCGCGCGCGCGUACCCGCCCGCCUGCCUGCCCGCGCGCGCGCGCUCUCGCGGCCGCGCCGCAACCAAUCGCUACGCCCCAGCGCGAGGGCUGCCGGGAAGGAGAGCUAUAAAAGCCCGGGUGCUAUUUACGCCGCGUGGGUUGGGCUUUGUGUGUGCGCGGGUGUGGAGGUUCUCGGGCUGGGUCGGCUGUUGGUCUCGCGGGCUUGGCCUGGUCGCUGCAGGCCUGGUCCUUCAGUGAGCCUCCUUCAGGGCAUGCCUGUGGUGGCAGAGCUCCCCUGCCUUGCUAGCCUGUUGCUUCAGUUCUGUCCUGGCCAUCUGUCUUCCCCUUUUUCUUUUCCUGCUGUGGUGUGGAUGAGCUUGGUGGCAGCAGGGCCUUGA